AGACCAUGGUAUGGACACCGUCUUUGCAAUUCCUUACACCUUUCCCAUAGCUCAUAUAAAGAUUCACCAUAAAUUAAACACAACUAGUAAUAUCAUUCAUAAGUUU